AAAAAAAAUACCCCACCUGAAGGUCCCCCAAACAGCAAUGUGAAACCCAUGCCGACCUUUAUUCCGUCUCAUUAUUGAUUUGGCAACUUUUCGACCGUCAGUCUUGAAGAAGAUUCAGAUUCGGUUGAAACGUUGCCAGGUCAGCCACAACUGUUAAACCUUUCGCUAAAGACUGUGGUACUUCGUAACAACCUGUGAAAUUAAA